UAUACACCCGAUGAAGCAGGGAAAACCAGUGUGUGUCACAACUUCAUGGAAAAACUUUCAAAGCACUGUGAUGCCAUGAUAAUUACUCUGACAGGCCCAGACAGCUGGAGUGAAACAAACGACAGAAUUCUUCAGUUCAUGUUUAUGAAGGAUGCCUUCAAGUUACCUGUUGACCCAAAGAG